CUUACUAAGACGAUCCAAACGAUUUGUUAACCAAAACGUAUUAAUUAACAUGUACAACUCACUAGUCUUACCUCACUUUACCUAUUGCUCCAACGUGUGGAAUGACGGCAGUCGUACACAUACAGACAAGCUUUUAAAAAUGCAAAAACGAGCGGCUCGAAUUAUCACAGGGUCAACUUACGAAGUAAGAUCGAAAGAUAUAUUUAAUAUCUUACACUG